GUCACCUCCGCCACCAACACCGGUCUACCAUUACGCCUCUCCGCCACCUCCGGUCUACUACUACAAAUCGCCACCUCCUCCUUCACCGGUUUACUACUACAAAUCCCCUCCUCCUCCUUCGCCGGUCUACUAUUACAAAUCCCCGCCUCCACCACCAUACUAUUACAAGUCCCCACCUCCACCUCCGCCUAAGUAUUACUACAAGUCGCCCCCACCACCGUCUCCAUACUAUUACAAAUCCCCGCCCCCUCCACCGUACUAUUACAAAUCCCCACCACCACCUCCCUACAAAUACGAAUCGCCGCCGCCUCCUCCUUACAAAUACGAGUCCCCACCUCCACCACCUUACUAUUACAAGUCCCCACCACCACCUCCAUACAAAUAUGAAUCCCCGCCACCUCCAGUCUACAAAUAUGAGUCUCCGCCACCCCCAGUUUACAAAUACAAGUCGCCACCACCACCAUACAAGUACGAGUCACCACCACCACCUCCAUACAAGUAUGAAUCCCCGCCACCUCCACCUUAUUACUACAAGUCCCCUCCACCACCACCAUACAAGUACGAGUCGCCACCACCUCCUCCGUACAAGUAUGAAUCUCCACCACCACCAGUUUACAAAUACAAGUCACCUCCGCCGCCACCUUAUUACUACAAAUCCCCACCGCCACCUCCAUACAAGUACGAGUCUCCACCUCCUCCUCCGUACAAGUAUGAAUCUCCACCACCACCACCUUAUUACUACAAAUCCCCCCCGCCACCUCCAUACAAGUACGAGUCACCGCCUCCUCCUCCGUACAAGUAUGAAUCUCCACCACCGCCAGUUUACAAAUACAAGUCACCCCCGCCACCACCUUAUUACUACAAAUCCCCGCCACCACCUCCAUACAAGUACGAGUCUCCACCUCCUCCUCCGUACAAGUAUGAAUCUCCACCACCACCUCCUUAUUACUACAAAUCCCCGCCGCCACCUCCCUACAAGUAUGAAUCCCCGCCACCACCUCCCUACAAAUACGAGUCACCUCCACCACCACCUUACUAUUACAAAUCUCCUCCACCGCCUCCAUACAAGUAUGAGUCGCCACCACCACCAGUCUACAAAUACGAGUCUCCGCCACCCCCAGUUUACAAAUACAAGUCGCCCCCUCCACCUUAUUACUACAAGUCUCCGCCACCCCCGCCAUACAAAUAUGAAUCCCCACCUCCACCUCCCUACAAGUAUGAAUCGCCUCCUCCUCCACCUUACUACUACAAGUCCCCUCCACCACCUCCCUACAAAUAUGAAUCCCCGCCACCACCUCCCUAUAAAUACGAGUCACCACCACCACCACCUUACUAUUACAAAUCUCCUCCACCGCCUCCAUACAAGUAUGAGUCGCCACCACCACCUCCCUACAAAUACGAGUCACCACCACCACCACCUUACAAGUAUGAAUCCCCACCUCCACCUCCGUACAAGUAUGAAUCACCUCCACCGCCUCCAUACAAGUAUGAAUCCCCUCCUCCACCUCCCUACAAAUACGAGUCACCACCCCCACCACCUUAUUACUACAAAUCGCCUCCGCCACCGGAGUAUCAAUCAC
rnacentral:lncRNA from 1 species